GCAGGACUAGCACAUAUAAAAAUGCACUCUAGGUAGCCUAGAAUUUCAGUUGAGAGAAGCUACAGCAAAGGACUUGUCCAGUGACCAUAGACCUUCUGUGGCCUUUGCUGGAAGCUGCUGUGGGACAGACUCUUCACAAACUUCCCCAGGGGAAGUCACCAGAAAGAGAGAGACCUCUACUAUUGUCAAAAGUAUUUCCCUGUUCUUGUUCAGAGCAGGAUUCUGAGGAAGACACAGCUAUUCUGCUGUGAAAAAUACAUCUGCAGCCAACUACUCCUGCUGAAUGCUUAAGAGGGCAGAAAACCAGCUCUAGCCUAAAAAGGCUGAAGUGACUCUUUUGGAAUUGUUGGAUUUCGGCACGGUCACAAGCCAGCACCACGGUCUGGCACGAGAAAGCUGCCAGGUUGAGUCGACUUCUGAACCUAAAUUCCUUCAACGUGGUUAUGAAUAGAAGUGCAGCCCCAGACUGGAAAAGAAGGCCCUGAAAAACACACAUAUGAAAGAGUAAUUGUUGCUUUUGCUGUGAAGAACAUUGGCUUGGGAAA